UACGUAGGGGGCGAGCGUUGUCCGGAGUUACUGGGCGUAAAGCGCACGCAGGCGGUCUGCUAAGUUUGGAGUGACAGUUGGUGGCUUAACUGCCAAAGUGCUUCGAAAACUGACAGACUUGAGGGCUUCAGAGGGACACGGAAUUCCCGGUGUAGCGGUGAAAUGCGCAGAUAUCGGGAAGAACACCCGUGGCGAAGGCGGCACUCUGGGACGGUACUGACGCUGAGACGCGAAAGCGUGGGGAGCGAACAGG
rnacentral:rRNA from 1 species